AACGAACGCUGGCGGCAGGCCUAACACAUGCAAGUCGAGCGCGCCCUUCGGGGUGAGCGGCGGACGGGUGAGUAACGCGUGGGAACGUGCCCUUUUCUACGGAAUAGCCUCGGGAAACUGAGAGUAAUACCGUAUACGCCCUUUGGGGGAAAGAUUUAUCGGAAAAGGAUCGGCCCGCGUUGGAUUAGGUAGUUGGUGGGGUAAUGGCCUACCAAGCCGACGAUCCAUAGCUGGUUUGAGAGGAUGAUCAGCCACACUGGGACUGAGACACGGCCCAGACUCCUACGGGAGGCAGCAGUGGGGAAUCUUGGACAAUGGGGGCAAGCCUGAUCUAGCCAUGCCGCGUGAGUGAUGAAGGCCUUAGGGUUGUAAAGCUCUUUCAGCUGGGAAGAUAAUGACGGUACCGGCAGAAGAAGCCCCGGCUAACUCCGUG
rnacentral:rRNA from 1 species